AUGGACGAACGGGCAAAAUUGGUAGUUCAGACAACAACGCUGAUAGCCGUGGUUCAGACAUGCCUCAUGUUGAUCCACAAGAGAGAUGUUCGUCAUGGUGACAAGCCUGUCAUUCGUUAUGCUCCCAUGUUAACCCGAUAUCAGGAGAGGAUGGCGAAUCUGAACUACAUUUACAAUUGCAGUGACACAAAGGCUCUGUGGAUGCUAAGAAUGAAAAGAGCACCUUUCACCAGGCUUGUGCAGACCUUCAGGAGCAAGGGGCUGCUACGAGAUAGCAUCUACACUAGUGCGAAAGAGCAAGUUGCCAUGUUCCUCCAUGUUGCCGGCUAUAACCAGAGGUUCAGGUUUAUCCCCAACACGUUCAGGGGAUCAAUGAAGACCAUUUCUUGGUACUUCAGGCAAGUGUUGUAUGCUAACUCAGAGGAGAGAUGA
rnacentral:rRNA from 1 species